AGAGUUUGAUCCUGGCUCAGAACGAACACUGGCGGCGUGGAUUAGGCAUGCAAGUCGAGCGGGAUUCACUUUGUUCAAUUCUUCGGAAAAGAACUUAGUGAUGAGAGCGGCGAACGGGUGAGUAAUAUAUGGGUAAUUUGCCUCUUUGUUCGGGAUAGCCAUCGGAAACGAUGAUUAAUACCGAAUGUGUUCAGGAACUUCAUGGUUCCUUCUAUAAAGGCGGGGAAGCUUCGGCUCCUGUCGCAAAGAGAUAAGCCCAUUUCCUAUCAGCUAGUUGGUGAGGUAAUGGCUCACCAAGGCUUACGGGUAGCUGGUCUGAGAGGAUGGUCAGCCACACUGGGACUGAGACACUGCCCAGACUCCUACGGGAGGCUGCAGUCGAGAAUCAUUGUCAAUGCACGAAAGUGUGAACAUGCGACGCCGCGUGGAGGAAGACGGCCUUUGGGUUGUAAACUCCUGUCAGCAGGGAGUAAAAAUAGAUCACUUAAUACGUGUUUUAUUUGAUAGUACCUGCAGAGGAAGUCACGGCUAACUCUGUGCCAGCAGCCGCGGUAAUACAGAGGUGGCGAACGUUGUUCGGAUUUACUGGGCGUAAAGGGUCCGCAGGCGGUCUUGUGUGUCAGAUGUGAAAGCCCACGGCUUAACCGUGGAAAUGCAUUUGAAACUGCAAGACUAGAGUACUGGAGGGGAGAAGGGAACACUUGGUGUAGCGGUGAAAUGCGUAGAUAUCAAGUGGAACACCGGCGGCGAAGGCGCUUCUCUGGACAGAUACUGACGCUCAUGGACGAAAGUUAGGGUAGCGAAAGGGAUUAGAUACCCCUGUAGUCCUAACCGUAAACGGUGUGCACUAGACGUGGGUGGAUUUACCCCCAUCCGUGUCUGAGCUAACGCAUUAAGUGCACCGCCUGGGGAGUACGGUCGCAAGAUUAAAACUCAAAGGAAUUGACGGGGACCCGCACAAGCGGUGGAGCAUGUGGCUUAAUUCGAUGCAACGCGAAGAACCUUACCUGGACUUGACAUGUAACUGCAUACGAC
rnacentral:rRNA from 1 species